rnacentral:rRNA from 1 species
CAGCCGCCGCGGUAAUACGUAGGUGGCAAGCGUUGUCCGGAAUUAUUGGGCGUAAAGCGCGCGCAGGUGGUUUAAUAAGUCUGAUGUGAAAGCCCACGGCUCAACCGUGGAGGGUCAUUGGAAACUGUUAAACUUGAGUGCAGGAGAGAAAAGUGGAAUUCCUAGUGUAGCGGUGAAAUGCGUAGAGAUUAGGAGGAACACCAGUGGCGAAGGCGGCUUUUUGGCCUGUAACUGACACUGAGGCGCGAAAGCGUGGGGAGCAAACAGGAUUAGAUACCCCGGUAGUCCCUGUCUCUUAUAC